UAAGGAAUAUUGCGCAAUGGGGGAAACCCUGACGCAGCAACGCCGCGUGGAGGAUGACACUUUUCGGAGCGUAAACUCCUUUUAUCAGGAAAGAAUAAUGACGGUACCUGAUGAAUAAGCACCGGCUAACUCCGUGCCAGCAGCCGCGGUAAUACGGGGGGUGCAAGCGUUACUCGGAAUCACUGGGCGUAAAGGACGCGUAGGCGGAUUAUCAAGUCUUUUGUGAAAUCUAGUGGCUUAACCACUAAACUGCUUAGGAAACUGAUAGUCUAGAGUAGGGGAGAGGUAGAUGGAAUUCUUGGUGUAGGGGUAAAAUCCGUGGAGAUCAAGAAGAAUACCCAUUGCGAAAGCGAUCUGCUGGAACCUAACUGACGCUGAGGCGUGAAAGCGUGGGUAGCAAACAGG
rnacentral:rRNA from 1 species